AACUUCUCAGAAGAACAUAUGUAAAAUUUUAACAUCGGUUUGUGACUGUCCUAGUUGGGGGCGUAGGUGAAGGAUUGUGAUAAUCCUAGUUGGUAAUACUAGACCUGAGCGACUUUGAACCUAUGA
rnacentral:sRNA from 1 species